AGUAUGACAUGGUCAUCCCCAGUGCCAACCACUUAUGAUGGCUUUUACCCUCUCUAUAGACCUGGGGGUAAUAAAGACAGGGAAAAUCUGGUGUCACCCGACCCGUUACUACCGCCUCUCCAAUAGCUGUGGACUCUUUAUUGGGCCUAAAUCAUCGGUAUCUGGCUGAACAAAUCCCCUGUUAAACCCACCUAUUUAAUCCUUGGUCUUCAGCGGAUACUGCUCUCCUGGAUAACGACAGACUAGGAACGUAUUCACGGGAUAGGGAUUAAAUCCUAUAAACCCAAAAACACCACCCCUGGCGAAAGCUGUUUGCUAGAACGCGCCCCACCGUAAGGGAUCAAACCUGGAGGAACGAACCCUAUUAGAUACCCCGGUAUUCCCUACUGUAAACGAUCCAGAUUAUGUGUAUGCACGUUCACUUGCCCUUCUACUGCCACACGCAAACUGUUAAAUCAGCCACCUGGAAACUACCAUCCUGAGAUUUACACUUACAGGAAUUGACCUUAGAGCACUU
rnacentral:rRNA from 1 species